rnacentral:lncRNA from 1 species
UUUUAUUUAUAAAUUGUUCUGUUUUUUCUUACAACUAAAUUGUUUUGUUGUUCUUAUCUAAAAUCUGUUUUGUUCCUAUUUUUAACCGUAUCAUCUUAUCUUUCGUAAUAGAUAAUCAUAAUAACACCAUGAUUAAGAGUGCAUGAUAACAGCAUAAAACUCUUAAUCUAACCGUACAUCAAAAGAACCAAUUCAAUCUAAACCGUUGAAUUGAAUAUAACAAGAUUGAAAAAAUGUCUCUAUAAAUGCAGAAGAAGACGAGUUUCAUCGUGAUUGGGUUGUGAUUUUGAUUUUUAGGAUUUUCUUCAGCGUAACCAGAAAGAACAAUUAGGGGAAAAAAAAUUUAGCGAGUUAGGGUUUCUAAUUCAACUCACUGAUUCUCCUAUACUUGUAUUCCCGGUUUUUUCAACUUCGCCGGAGAAAUCUCGCUCUAAAUAUUCUCCGAUUAUGUCUCCAGUAGCGUAAAGAUCGGAUUUUCCGGCGACAAAUUUGGGGGUUUUCCGAUUAUUCUUUGAGUGUGUGGGAGAAAUUUCCGAUUUUGUUCCUAAAAAAAAGGGUCUUUACUCAGAAAGCGAUUACUUGGUUUCUUCUUGCUUUCAAUUUUGCAUUGAGUUGAAUUUGACUGUGCCGUUUUGAAUCAGAAUAUGCGAUAUUGGGUUUCUAUUUUUUGAGGAUAAAAAUAACUUUUUUUUUGUAGGAUUAGAUUUUUUUUGUUUUGUUUGGGAGUGUUCUUCAAUUUUGAUUAAUUGGGUUUGAUUUUAAGGAAAUGGGACGGUAAAAUCUAGAUAAAUCAACUUCUUCAAUUUGAUUAAUUUUUGGGUUUGAUAUUUAAGGAAACUUUGUCCUUUGAUAAAUUUUCCGCAUCAGUUUCAUAAGUGCUUUUUUAUAAAAAAAAAAUAAAAAAUAAAUUAAAAUAAAAAGCUUUUCAAUUUUUGGAUUUUGAAUUGGUAUUGAAUUUUGAUAUUAAUAGGUUUAAUUUAUUUAUUUGUAUGGAUGGAUCAUUUUUCUUAAUAUAGUGGUCACUGCAACAGGCAGAACCACUGAUCAUUCUGUGUNNNN